rnacentral:rRNA from 1 species
UACGUAGGGUGCAAGCGUUAAUCGGAAUACUGGGCGUAAAGCGUGCGCAGGCGGUUGUGCAAGACAGAUGUGAAAUCCCCGGGCUUUAACCUGGGAACUGCAUUUGUGACUGCACGGCUAGAGUGUGGUCAGAGGGGGGUAGAAUUCCACGUGUAGCAGUGAAAUGCGUAGAUAUGUGGAGGAAUACCGAUGGCGAAGGCAGCCCCCUGGGAUAACACUGACGCCUCAUGCACGAAAGCGUGGGGAGCAACAGG